AGGAUCAGAGAUCUCAGAGAGCGGCAGCAGAGGCUUGUUUCACCAGUCCAAAUGCUCUGAAGUCAUUCCCAGGGCUUGUAAAGCUGGUAUAAGCUCUUCAGAGGAAGGAUCAUAGCUCUGGGUUCAUACUACAUAUAAGUAGUAUUAUCCCAUAUAAGGAAUACUGGGAAAAUCCACCUGCCAACACUGGAAGAUAAUAUUACAUUCAAAACAAAAUACUAGCAUUUGGAGAUUUAGCUUCCAUUCUUCAAAUCAGCUGUGACUUUAAGCAACUCAUUCAGUGUGCAACUGCUGGAGAAACAGGGAGUUGCUGCCCAUGGGAGAAUAUCCCAGGUUUUGUUCUAUGAGGAAAUUUGCUGCUUGGAUGUGGUUCUGUCCUUCCAGAUGCCUGUGAAUUCCUCCAGGGUACCCUGGA